rnacentral:rRNA from 1 species
UACGUAGGGGGCUAGCGUUGUCCGGAAUCAUUGGGCGUAAAGAGCGUGUAGGCGGUCCGGUAAGUCCGCUGUGAAAGUCGGGGGCUCAACCCUCGAAUGCCGGUGGAUACUGUCGGGCUAGAGUGCGGAAGAGGCGAGUGGAAUUCCUGGUGUAGCGGUGAAAUGCGCAGAUAUCAGGAGGAACACCUAUUGCGAAGGCAGCUCGCUGGGACGUUACUGACGCUGAGACGCGAAAGCGUGGGGAGCAACCAGG